GAAUGAGCAACACUAGCCCAGUAAGGACGUCACACUAUAUCACUGUCACAGAAGUAAAUGUUAGUAGAAAAUCAAAAACAACCAAUGAAGUACAAAUUUUAAACAAAUUCAUUUAUCAAUAAUCAAACCAUUUACCGUCCACUUACCUCAGUGAGAUUUAUAAAAAAAAACUACCCAUAGAAACAAUAACAUCAUAGAUAUCAUGAAUUCAUACAUAAUUUAUAACAUAGCACAUGUCAUACUUUUAUAUUUAAAUCAUCAAACAACAGUUGUCCCC
rnacentral:lncRNA from 1 species